rnacentral:lncRNA from 1 species
AAGAACAAAGGAAGAAAAGAAGAACACAAACCCUAGGUGGAAAAAUUCAAGGGAAAAGUGUGGAAAUUCAAGUAAUCAAGCAAUUAAAGGUAAAAUUUCUUGAUUUUGACUUAUGAUCUACCUUUCCCAUGCAUUAUUUUUCAUUUUUCAUGGUUGAAUCACAAGAUGUCAUGAAGUAUUCAUGGCUGACCAAAUUUAGAGAGAGAAGAUUUGAUGGUUGUUUAGUUAGAUUUUAAGAUAUUCUAGUGUUUUUAGUUAGUUAGUGAUGUGUAGCAUGAAAAUCAAACAAGAAAAAUUCAUUUUCUCCCAUAACCCAUCAUUGCCCGAAUUCUCCAUGUAGAAUAUUGAUGAUGAUUUUGAUUUUAUUUCAAGUGAUUUGGUUAGGAAUUAGUGAUUUGUGGUGUGAGAAUCAAGUAGGAAAAAUUAUGGUGUUGAUGCACUCAAAAUGGCCGAAUUUUUCAAGAGAAAAUGUGAGGAUGAUUUUGCCACAUUUCAAGUUAUUUAAAUUGUGUUUAAUGAUUUGGAGUAUUGGGAGAAAAAUGGAGUUAAUUGGAGUUGAAUUGGACAUAUUGGCCAAUUAAUCAGGUGAUAAGACAAAUUAGGCCAAUAUUGGGUUUAGAUUGUUACCCGUGCAUUUUGCAUUUCAUAUUAUGCAUUAGUAGUCUAAAUUAGUUUAAUUUCUAUUUAGUACCAAUGUAGUAAGUUUCUUGAUUUUGUACUAUGUCAAGGUGGUGAGUCCACCGAUAAAGGCAAGAAAAUUGCAUCCGAGGACUAGUAGUCAGAGUACUUCAAAAAUCCGCACUCUAGACAUUGUGAGUAACCUUACUAUCGUCUUAAUUAUCUAAAGUGAUUUUUAUUUGAUUUUGUGUUUUAUGGAAAAUGAGUUUAAAUGGUAAAUCUUUAUGUUUUAUAAGCAAAAUGUGAUUAAAUGAAAAUGACUUUAUAAAAUUGUCUUGAAAUUGAAAGAUGAUUUUGAAAAUGGAGUAAUUGGAGAGUAAUUGCUGUGUUAUAAAUCAUGGUUUGAAUUGAAUGGCUUAUGACAAUAUUGGCAUGAAUGGCUGAAUUGGUAUUUGUGUUGAAAUGUAUAAACUGUUGUUUGCCUUGAUAGGCUAGAUAAUGGUAAAAAUAGCCAUGUCAUGUUGUUGAAUUUUUAUUGUAUGGUGGGUUUAGCUUGCUUCAGUGGGCUGGUUUUGUGGACUAGCCUAUUAGAGGGGCACAAAACCUGGUCAUAUUCAUACCUCAGUAUGAGAGGCGCGAAUGGAUAACUCCUGAGGUUAACACUUUAGAGUUCACUUCACGCCAAACCACCACGUGAGGGGAACUCGGCCAACGCCAAGGAACGGCUAUGUUUUCAAAAUAAAAACAUGAUUUAUGCGUACAUAACUUUUUAACAGCCUUGGCGGACUCGGUUGAGAUAGCCCUCGAUCAAGGCAUCCUUGAUAACUGGGUAUGAGAAUGAUUUUGGCACGAGCCAAAGCUUUUAAGAAAUUCAUAAGCUAUGUUGAUUACUCGAUUUAUAUGAAUUGAUUUUAUUUGGUUGAAAUGAGUUUGAAAGGUAAUGAAUUACAGUAUAUUAAAUUAUUUAUCUGUCUCCAUUUAGUCAGUUUUAGAUAUUUUAGAUAGUAUUUGUUUACUCAUUGGGAUUAUAUAAUCUCACCACCCUCAUUUCCACCCCUUUCAGGCUUAGGAUAGUCGGUAGAUAGCUCACUUUGUUGAGGGCUACAAUUGGACUUGCAUCCUAAAAAACUGUAGGUUUACUGCUUUUAAUACUUUUGGUCGUUAAUGGGCCCACUUAUUACUGUAAAUUAAAUUAAAUACUCUGGCUUACUGUAGUACAAUAUAUAUGAAUUUAUUUUACUUUUACGCUGUAAAAAUUAUUUAUGCAGUGUUCUAAAAAUAUU